AACGUAGGAGACAAACGUUAUCCGGAGUUACUGGGCGUAAAGGGCGUGUAGGUGGUUUCGUAAGUCUGGCGUGAAAUUUCUCGGCUUAACCGAGGCAGGUCGUCGGAUACUGCGGAACUUGAGGACGGUAGAGGCGUGUGGAAUUCCGGGUGUAGCGGUGAAAUGCGUAGAGAUCCGGAGGAACACCAGUGGCGAAGGCGACACGCUGGGCCGGUACCUGACACUGAUGCGCGACAGCAUGGGGAGCAAACAGG
rnacentral:rRNA from 1 species